AAUUUACAGAUAAAGAGUCGUGCCUGCCCAGUGAAUUUUUUUAACGGCCGCAGUACCCUGACUGUGCUAAGGUAGCAUAAUCACUUGUUUUUUAAUUGAAAGCUUGUAUGAAUGGCUUGACGCAGGUAAAGCUGUCUCUUUUAUAUUAAAUAAAAAUUAAUUUUUAAGUGCAGAAGCUUAAAUGUGCCCAAAAGACGAAAAGACCCUAUCGAGCUUGAAAAUUAUAAUUAAAUUAAAUUUAUAGUAAAAUAAUUUUUAAUUAAUUUUUUUUGUUGGGGCGACAAAAGAACAAACAAAGCUUCUUUUUAUUCUAUUAAUUUCUAAAUUUAUAGAUCCAUAAUUUAUGAUUAAAAGAAAAAGCUACCGUAGGGAUAACAGCGUUAUUUUUUCAAAGAGUUCUUAUCGAAGAAAAAGUUUGCGACCUCGAUGUUGGAUUAAAGUAACUUCUAAGUGCAGAAGCUUAGAAAGUGGGUCUGUUCGACCCUUAAACCUUU
rnacentral:rRNA from 1 species